UGCAUGGUGGCAUGGCGCCGGCUGUUCCACUGCUGCUCCCCGGAACUCACUUCUGUCUCCUUUCUGAGGAGAUGGGCCGCAUUCCUAGGGCUGAUUUCUCAGGCAACUUCAGAUGGAAAAUUCUAGAAAGGAAGGAGGUUUCAUCUGGAUUUUUUAUUUUUGCCGCUUUCUCAGAAUCCCGAGUCCCUUCUGUGGUAUGAGUCCAUCUCCUGGCAGGAUUUUUUUAUGACUGAAAUAUGGCAUCCUCCUUUUUUUGGGUCAGUUCUUCACCCUCCGCUGUCCCAGAGCCUUCAAGACUUUCCUGGAUGGAUAUGGAGGGUACCAAGUAGAGCAAAGAGAUGUCCACGGAUUGCGAGGCAAGACCCGGGAAGAAAGAUGGCCCUGAUCUAGCAGGGUAAUCAGACCCUUCUGCACACAGAGAUUUCAACGCCUUUGCAGAGCACGUGCACAGCAAGGCCUGGAGGGAGGAUGGGCCUGGCUCCUGCUGGAGCUGAGACUGGAGGGCAGGAAGGCAAGGGCGCUGUUGCAGGGGCCCAGGAGCCAGAUCCUGGAGCUGCACCGGGAAGACGAGAGUGGAAGCCAUGAGAAGUGGAUGGAUUCAGGACACACGUGAAGACUGGACCCCUCAUAGCAUGAGUUACAAAGGGGAUCCUUCCCCUCCGGGAUCUAGUUAAGUAAGAGCCUGGACCUAUUGCUUCCAGAAUCCUUCAGCCCUCCAGAAGGCAGCAUGGAGGUGGGCACACCAGGUUCUGAGCCAAACUCUGCCACUUGCUUGCUCUGUGACCUUAGAGAGGUUGAGAAAACAGCAAAAUGCCCAGAGUCCAAAGGGCAGGCUGGUAGCCCCUGGCUGACUCUGAGGGCUCCCAGAAGGCAGAAAGGGAAACUGAGGCAGCAAGUGCCAGUCGGAGGCUGCUGAGAAGAAGGCGCCGGUAACAACAGCCCCCAGACAGGAGCCACGCUGUUCCCAGAUAUGAGGCUGACACCACUCCGCCAGACCCACCUGCAUGUCCCCUCAGUGCUGGUCCAGGAUGAGGGGCACCUGGGCGCUGUCCACUCGCGGAGGCAGCCGCUCGCCCGUGCGCACGUUGAACAUAGGCAGCGUGGAGAGGGGCCGGGGCACCUCGCGGCUGGAUGCCAUCUGCCGCAGCUCCUCUGUGUUCCCGCGGAUAGUGCAGUGGUGGACCAUCUGGAUGCUGGGGGCACGGGCCGGCACAGUCGUCAGUCCCGGGAGCCAACUCCGCUGAGGCUCGGCGCGGCACUGCCUCUGAGCCACCCUGCAGUCCCUCCCCACCUGGUAUGUAGGGGAAACUCACACACAUGACGGGUGAGGGGAAGACAAACAAGGAAGGUCUUUGGUGCCAGCUCAGUGUCCAGUGAGGAGGCAUAGGCUGUGGGCACAGCCAGCCUGGAUUCCAAGCUGUGUGUCCCUGGCAAGUUGCUGAACCACUCUGUGCCUCAGUGUCCUCAACUGUAAGAUGGACAUAAUGCUAGAAUCUGCCUCCUAGCACUGUGGUGGGAAUUAAAUGAGAAAAAUGUUUAGAGAAGUGCCUGGUGCCUGCUAAGAACUCCUGAGGUGCCAGCCAUGAAUAGGUACCCGCAGUGGAUUGCUAUUUCCAGAGGCCGGCGUUUGCUGGGGUUUAUAUUCCGAUCACCUUCCCGGUCCCUUCCAGCAUUCAGCUCCCUCCCCAAAUACUCUCUCCUACCAUUGACCAUCCAGUCUUCCCCGCCUCAUCCCUCUUAGUCUGGCAAACUUCCCCCUCCAUCUCUUCCCACCUCCUCCUCUGGCUCCCGGGCUGUUUCCUGCCAGGCCUCCGUGGUCUCAUCUUCUGGCUCCUCCCAUCUAGCCUCCCUGGCCUUUGUACCCGGCCCUCUCCCACCCCUCCCCAGCCUGCCCCCCACCACUGACUAGCUCUGGACACCAAGUCUUUGCUCUCUGGCUUUAUUCCAGAUCAAAACUCCAUGAGGCCGACCCCGGGAUCUGCCCUCAGUGGGCCUGAAAUCCCUGUGGCCGUCAGAAAGCCCUUUCUGAGCUCUCAUGUCAGAAAGGAGACUUGCUUCUGUCUUCUCAGAAAGCUCAGCCUCAUUCUCAUUUGAGAUCCUGAGGAGCUUGCCUUCUGCUGCCUGGGGCAAGCUUCUGUUCAUUCUGAGAAGUAGGGUAGCACGGUGUAACCCAACAUCAGCACUUGCUUUGAAUAUACAUGUGAGUCCUGCUACUUACUGGCUGUGUGAUUUUAUGCAAGUCACUUAACUUCUCUGUGCCACUAUUUCCUCCAUCGUAAUGCAGUUUUUGUACAUAUUAAAUGAGUUAAUACAGGAAAAAACACUCCUGGUCAGCAUCAUAGCAAGUGGUAGCUAAUAUUAUAGGAAGGCCAACGUUGCUAUAAUCAUCAUCAGCGUUAUUUUAUUAUAGUAGGCCCACUGAUGUGCUUGACCUCUAGUAAAGGGAUGUUUCCAAGCCCCUUUACAUGAAUCCACCCACAUUUGUGGGUCCAGCCUGGAGAUAUUUUCCUAGAUUACCUGGUUGCCAGGUGAGAGAUAGCAGGGACUCUUCAUCACAAACAAUAAGAAUUAGUUUUCCUUGGGGCACCUGGGUGGUUCAGUCAGUAGAGCAUCCCAAUCUUGAUUUUGGGUCAGAUCAUUAUCUCAGGGUCUUGAGACUGAGCCCAAGUCAGGCUCCCGCUCGGCCAGGA